AGCUUCUUAAAUUUUCUCUGUACUUUCAUUUUAUUUCCUUCUCGGGCUCCGUCUCUAAUUUCUCCUUGUCCCAAACAAAGAAGUAAAUAGUAAACGCGGAGAUGACACGGGUAGUAAGAAAUGGUAGCUACAUUUCUUGGAAUCGACGAAGAACCAUCAGUGAUCUCCAAUUCUCUCUCCAUAAGUCACUUCAAAAUCUUCCCUUUCAAAUCCAGUUUUUUCAACUGCAAGAAUCUCCUCAAGAAAAAAUUCAAGAAAUCCUAUCUCCUCAAGAAAGAAUUCAAGAAAUCCAAUUCAAUGGAAUCCUAUCUUCAGCAAGUGGUUCUAAUCACAGGUUGCAGCCAGGGAGGAAUAGGCCACGCGAUGGCUAAGGAGUUUGCAGCCAACAAUUGCCUAGUUGUUGCCACAAGCAGGUCCUUGGACUCCAUGAGAGACCUUGAACAAGACCAUAGAUUCUUUCUGCAAGAACUGGAGGUUUUGUCAGAUGAGAGUGUCCAGCAUGUAAUAUCAACUGUUCUUGAGAAGUAUGGGAGAAUUGAUAUUUUGGUUAACAAUGCUGGGAUUCAAUGCGUGGCCCCUCUUGCUGAAGUCCCUUUAUCUGCUAUGCAAAAUGCAUUCGACACUAAUCUUUAUGGUAAGUUGAUGUGCUUAUCAAAUCCUCAAAUUUAUCUAUUUUAUAGAAAAUCAUGAUGAGUUUACCUUUUUAUUUAUGAUUUAUACUUGCAGAGGCAAUUGGGUUAGAUUUAUUUAUGAAUAGCUAGCCAAUUGGGGAAAUUAUGCUUUGAUUUAAUGAUAUUGCUUCUUCCCUAGUGCAGAAAAAUAGUCAAUAGGUUAAUAUUUCAUUUGGGAAUGCUGCAUUCAUGAUUGAAUUAAUGACUAGUGAGAAGUGAAAUGAAUGAAUAUUAUGAAUUUUGGGGAAACUCAUUCUUCAUAUCAAUUUUGGCAUGCUAGUAAAAAUUAUAGAAAAUUUUGAUAGUUUGCCCUUAUAAAGAAGUGUUCUGAAUUUCAUCCGUGAUCUAUUGUGUAAAGCUGAUCUCAGUUUGUUGUUUUAUUUUUCCCAUUCUAGGAUACACUUCAUCCUUUCUAGUGGCUUUGAUGUUGCUUUGAUUGCAGUCAGACAAUAAGGAAGCUAUAACUAGGUCAUGCUUUUAAUAAGGAAGCCUAUAGUAAUGAAUAUCGAUCAUUGAUCUUUAGAUGUUAGUAGUCUAUUAGCAUGGGAUAAAGCCUUUUUUCUUUUAUAUGAAAAUUAUUGAUCUGACCUUUCCACUAUGCUGUGCCCUAUCUCCAUGGCUAUGAACAAUAUGCGCGAGAAUUAUUAUAAUUCUCUCCUCUUUGAAGCUGAUUGCCUAUUCCAGCAGUAACCAUCCUCCAGAGCCAUCAUUAAUUAUUGGCCUAAGGCAAUUUCUUAAGAUACCAUUAUCAGUGGAAAAGUGAUAGUUAUAAAAAAGAGAAGGAACAGGAAUGGAACGUUAAUGAUUGUAAAGGGCACUAUGAUAGUCUAAAUAAUGACCAAUGCCUCCCACCUAUUGCUUUGACUCACUUUACAUCUUUCUCUGCUGUAGCAUUCAUGUUCUUAGCAGCAACUCUUUUUUCUAUAUCUAAUGGCCUUGACACAUUUGGGUCUUUGAUAUGAACAAUUGCAUUUUUUUCUCUAUUGAAUUGCAGUACAUACUUAAUGCCUACCAUAUGGGUGCUCCAUCUUAUUAUGCAUGUAAGUUAUAAAUAUGUAGGCUUUAACUUUGUGCCCAAUUUUUUCCCAUGUGUAGUUUUGAACUUGGUGUAAAUACAGAUCUACCUAUCUUCUCAAAAGCCUUUAGAAGCCCCUCCAUUCUCAUGGGUCUGAGAGGCUGUCUUGGGCAAUGAUAUAUUAUAAGGCCUUUACUCUCCCUUUGAUUGUAGUCCUUGAAAAUUGCUCAAAUUAAUCAUAUAACUCCAUUUUCUCUGCUGAUGUUUUUGAGAAUCUGUGUAUGUUUUGUAAGUUGUGAGGGCAUUCAUAUAUUAAUGAUAUCUCUGCAAAUGGGAUUCUUGAGGCUUGUCUUAGCUCUUCUAUAGGUGUGGCCUUAAUUCAGAUUUGAUUGAAUAUGCAAUCCUCAUAUUAUUUAAUCUUGCAAUACUUUUAGCUAUAGUAAGACAUAACAGCAUUAUCAAUGAUUUGGUUCUCCACCCACAUUCUGGCGUUUUAAUGAGGAAGUUUGUCACUGCCUCUCCUAGUAAAUUCCUUUUCCUUUUUGGAUCAUAGAAUUUCCCUUCUGGGAAGCACAGAUCUCAACUUCUUCUGGUUUACUCUUAAAAAAUGGUGCGUUAAGCAUCGUCUCUUGUACAUGUUUCAUCUUGCUAGAAUUAGCUAGAAACCCUGUUACUCUUUGAUACAGUCCGCACAUCAUGCUGCCUCUUAUAAUAAGAACCCCAGUAAUGUUAUAAGAUCAUUUCAUGGAUAGAUAUGUGCCUCAGGUCCUUGUUUUCUAUCUCUAUAUGGUUUCUUUGUUCAGGGUAAUAAAACGUUCUUUAAUUCUUAACAAUUUUUAUGUUCUAUGGAAAGAUUGUCUAGACGGUCAUUCUUGCAAGUAAUGCACGUGAUUAUGCAAGCAAUUAAUUUAUUGUCUGAUGGACAUGCUAUGCCAUUAUUUUUUGUUGCUUUUGUAAUGUUGUAGUUAUAUGUCCAUUUAGGUCCCAUAAGACUUAUUCAAGCUGCUGUUCCUCACAUGGCAUCUAGGAAAAAGGGAAAAAUAGUAAAUGUUGGAAGUGUUUCUGCCAUGGCUCCUAUCCCUUGGGCUGGUGUUUACACUGCAACCAAAGCCGCUCUUCAUUCACUGUCGGACACCUUGAGGUUGGAACUCAAGCCUUUAGG
rnacentral:misc_RNA from 1 species